AUCAUUUUUAGGAUCCUACAAUGAGGACUGGAUGUUCACACAUCUAUGACAUGUGUCUUCCUCCAAUAUUAUUAAGACUCUGGCACACUACCUGUCUGAUA